AUGAACGCUAGCUACAGGCUUAACACAUGCAAGUCGAGGGGCAGCAUGGUCUUAGCUUGCUAAGGCUGAUGGCGACCGGCGCACGGGUGAGUAACACGUAUCCAACCUGCCGUCUACUCUUGGCCAGCCUUCUGAAAGGAAGAUUAAUCCAGGAUGGGAUCAUGAGUUCACAUGUCCGCAUGAUUAAAGGUAUUUUCCGGUAGACGAUGGGGAUGCGUUCCAUUAGAUAGUAGGCGGGGUAACGGCCCACCUAGUCAACGAUGGAUAGGGGUUCUGAGAGGAAGGUCCCCCACAUUGGAACUGAGACACGGUCCAAACUCCUACGGGAGGCAGCAGUGAGGAAUAUUGGUCAAUGGGCGAUGGCCUGAACCAGCCAAGUAGCGUGAAGGAUGACUGCCCUAUGGGUUGUAAACUUCUUUUAUAAAGGAAUAAAGUCGGGUAUGCAUACCCGUUUGCAUGUACUUUAUGAAUAAGGAUCGGCUAACUCCGUGCCAGCAGCCGCGGUAAUACGGAGGAUCCGAGCGUUAUCCGGAUUUAUUGGGUUUAAAGGGAGCGUAGAUGGAUGUUUAAGUCAGUUGUGAAAGUUUGCGGCUCAACCGUAAAAUUGCAGUUGAUACUGGAUGUCUUGAGUGCAGUUGAGGCAGGCGGAAUUCGUGGUGUAGCGGUGAAAUGCUUAGAUAUCACGAAGAACUCCGAUUGCGAAGGCAGCCUGCUAAGCUGCAACUGACAUUGAGGCUCGAAAGUGUGGGUAUCAAACAGGAUUAGAUACCCUGGUAGUCCACACGGUAAACGAUGAAUACUCGCUGUUUGCGAUAUACGGCAAGCGGCCAAGCGAAAGCGUUAAGUAUUCCACCUGGGGAGUACGCCGGCAACGGUGAAACUCAAAGGAAUUGACGGGGGCCCGCACAAGCGGUGGAGCAUGUGGUUUAAUUCGAAGCAACGCGAAGAACCUUACCAGGUCUUGACAUUGAUCGCGAUCUGCAGAAAUGCGGAGUUCUUCUUCGGAAGACGAGAAAACAGGUGGUGCACGGCUGUCGUCAGCUCGUGUCGUGAGAUGUUGGGUUAAGUCCCGCAACGAGCGCAACCCUUAUGGUCAGUUACUACGCAAGAGGACUCUGGCCAGACUGCCGUUGACAAAACGGAGGAAGGUGGGGAUGACGUCAAAUCAUCAUGCCCUUUAUGUCCUGGGCUACACACGUACUACAAUGGCGUUAAACAAAGAGAAGCAAGACCGCGAGGUGGAGCAAAACUCAAAAACAACGUCUCAGUUCAGAUUGCAGGCUGCAACUCGCCUGCAUGAAGUUGGAAUUGCUAGUAAUCGCGGAUCAGAAUGCCGCGGUGAAUACGUUCCCGGGCCUUGUACACACCGCCCGUCACACCAUGAGAGUCGAUAACACCCGAAGCCUGUGAGCUAACCGUAAGGAGGCAGCAGUCGAAGGUGGGGUUGAUGAUUGGGGUG
rnacentral:rRNA from 1 species